AAGUCGUUUUGAUAUCUUCGGAUUGAUAAACUUCUGGAUGAGUGGCGAACGGGUGAGUAACGCGUGAGCAACCUGCCUAUGACAGUGGGAUAGCCUCGGGAAACCGGGAUUAAUACCGCAUAAAAUCGUAGAAACACAUGUUUCAACGGUCAAAGAUUUAUCGGUCAUAGAUGGGCUCGCGUCUGAUUAGCUAGUUGGUGAGAUAACAGCCCACCAAGGCGACGAUCAGUAGCCGGUCUGAGAGGAUGAACGGCCACAUUGGAACUGAGACACGGUCCAAACUCCUACGGGAGGCAGCAGUGGGGAAUAUUGCACAAUGGGGGGAACCCUGAUGCAGCGACGCCGCGUGAACGAAGAAGGUAUUCGUAUCGUAAAGUUCUGUCCUAUGGGAAGAUAAUGACAGUACC
rnacentral:rRNA from 1 species